rnacentral:rRNA from 1 species
GAUGAACGCUGGCGGCGUGCCUAAUACAUGCAAGUCGAGCGAACAGAUGAGGAGCUUGCUCCUCUGACGUUAGCGGCGGACGGGUGAGUAACACGUGGAUAACCUACCUAUAAGACUGGGAUAACUUCGGGAAACCGGAGCUAAUACCGGAUAAUAUAUUGAACCGCAUGGUUCAAUAGUGAAAGACGGUUUAGCUGUCACUUAUAGAUGGAUCCGCGCCGCAUUAGCUAGUUGGUAAGGUAACGGCUUACCAAGGCGACGAUGCGUAGCCGACCUGAGAGGGUGAUCGGCCACACUGGAACUGAGACACGGUCCAGACUCCUACGGGAGGCAGCAGUAGGGAAUCUUCCGCAAUGGGCGAAAGCCUGACGGAGCAACGCCGCGUGAGUGAUGAAGGUCUUCGGAUCGUAAAACUCUGUUAUUAGGGAAGAACAAAUGUGUAAGUAACUAUGCACGUCUUGACGGUACCUAAUCAGAAAGCCACGGCUAACUACGUG